rnacentral:rRNA from 1 species
AGCGAACGUUAGCGGCGGGCCUAACACAUGCAAGUCGAGCGAGAAAGUGGCUUCGGCCAUCAGUAAAGCGGCGGACGGGUGAGUAACACGUAGGUAAUCUUCCCUUGAGCGGGGGACAACGUUUCGAAAGGAACGCUAAUACCGCAUAAGUUUUCAGGAACUCUGGUUCUUGGAAGGAAAGACUAGGUCGCAAGAUCCGGCACUCGAGGAGGAGCCUGCGUCGCAUCAGCUAGUUGGUGGGGAAUGGCCUACCAAGGCGAAGACGCGUAGCUGGUCUGAGAGGAUGAUCAGCCACACUGGGACUGAGACACGGCCCAGACUCCUACGGGAGGCAGCAGUGGGGAAUAUUGGACAAUGGGCGCAAGCCUGAUCCAGCCACGCCGCGUGAGUGAUGAAGGCCUU